rnacentral:rRNA from 1 species
CAUUACCUACGGGACGCAGCAGUAGGGAAUCUUCCACAAUGGACGAAAGUCUGAUGGAGCAACGCCGCGUGAGUGAAGAAGGGUUUCGGCUCGUAAAGCUCUGUUGGUAGUGAAGAAAGAUAGAGGUAGUAACUGGCCUUUAUUUGACGGUAAUUACUUAGAAAGUCACGGCUAACUACGUGCCAGCAGCCGCGGUAAUACGUAUGGAGCAAGCGUUAUCCGGAUUUACUGGGUGUAAAGGGAGCGUAGGCGGCUCUGUAAGUCUGAUGUGAAAAUUUGGGGCUCAAACCCAAA